UACAGAGGGUGCAAGCGUUAAUCGGAAUUACUGGGCGUAAAGGGCGUGCAGGUGGUUUCUUAAGUUAGAUGUGAAAGCCCUGGGCUCAACCUGGGAACAGCAUCUAAAACUGGGGAACUAGAGUAUGGUAGAGGGAAGUGGAAUUUCUAGUGUAGCGGUGAAAUGCGUAGAUAUUAGAAAGAACACCAGUGGCGAAGGCGACUUCCUGGACCAAUACUGACACUGAGGCGCGAAAGCGUGGGGAGCAAACAGG
rnacentral:rRNA from 1 species